rnacentral:tRNA from 2 species
GUACGUGUGAUGAAGAGGCUUAACAUAUCGUUCUGCAAAAACGACAUUUCGAGGGUUCAAAUCCCUUCACGUACU